rnacentral:rRNA from 1 species
AUUGAACGCUGGCGGCAUGCUUUACACAUGCAAGUCGAACGGUAACAGGGAGCUUGCUCCGCUGACGAGUGGCGAACGGGUGAGUAAUGCAUCGGAACGUACCCAGUCGUGGGGGAUAACGUAGCGAAAGUUACGCUAAUACCGCAUACGUCCUGAGGGAGAAAGCGGGGGACCGUAAGGCCUCGCGCGAUUGGAGCGGCCGAUGUCGGAUUAGCUAGUUGGUAGGGUAAAGGCCUACCAAGGCGACGAUCCGUAGCGGGUCUGAGAGGAUGAUCCGCCACACUGGGACUGAGACACGGCCCAGACUCCUACGGGAGGCAGCAGUGGGGAAUUUUGGACAAUGGGCGAAAGCCUGAUCCAGCCAUGCCGCGUGAGUGAAGAAGGCCUUCGGUUGUAAGCUCUUCAGGUGGAAGAAACGACAUAGGUUAAUACGAGGUGAGGUUGACGGUACCUUGAUAAGAAGCACCGGCUAACUACGUGCCAGCAGCCGCGGUAAU